rnacentral:rRNA from 1 species
UGAGGAAUAUUGCACAAUGGGUGCAAGCCUGAUGCAGCAACGCCGCGUGCGGGACGAAGGCCUUCGGGUCGUAAACCGCUUUUCUGGGGGAAGAGCAAGGACGGUACCUCAGGAAUAAGUCUCGGCUAACUACGUGCCAGCAGCCGCGGUAAAACGUAGGAGGCGAGCGUUAUCCGGAUUUACUGGGCGUAAAGCGCACGCAGGCGGCUCUGUUAGUCGGACGUGAAAGCUCUCGGCUUAACCGGGAGAGGCCGUUCGAUACUGCGGGGCUUGAGGUAGGGAGAGGAAUGCGGAAUUCCCGGUGUAGUGGUGGAAUGCGUAGAUAUCGGGAGGAACACCUGUGGCGAAAGCGGCAUUCUGGCCCUCACCUGACGCUGAGGUGCGAAAGCGUGGGUAGCAAACA